ACUCAGUGAAAUUGAACUCGCUGUGAAGAUGCAGUGUACCCGCGGCAAGACGGAAAGACCCCGUGAACCUUUACUAUAGCUUGACACUGAACAUUGAGCCUUGAUGUGUAGGAUAGGUGGGAGGCUUAGAAGUGUGGACGCCAGUCUGCAUGGAGCCGACCUUGAAAUACCACCCUUUAAUGUUUGAUGUUCUAACGUUGACCCGUAAUCCGGGUUGCGGACAGUGUCUGGUGGGUAGUUUGACUGGGGCGUUCU
rnacentral:rRNA from 1 species